AGUUUAGGAAAAAGAAACAAMAGKRAUUGCCNNAGUAACGGCGAGUGAAGCGGCAACAGCUCAAAUUUGAAAUCUGGCCCUUGGGUCCGAAUUGUAAUUUGCAGAGGAUGCUUUUGGCGCGGCGCCUUCCGAGUUUCCUGGAACGGAACGCCAUAGAGGGUGAGAGCCCCGUCCGGUUGGAUGCCUAGCCUAUGUAAAGCUCCUUCGACGAGUCGAGUAGUUUGGGAAUGCUGCUCUAAAUGGGAGGUACAUGUCUUCUAAAGCUAAAUACCGGCCAGAGACCGAUAGCGCACAAGUAGAGUGAUCGAAAGAUGAAAAGCACUUUGAAAAGAGGGUUAAACAGUACGUGAAAUUGUUGAAAGGGAAGCGUUUGUGACCAGACUUGGGCCCGGUUAAUCAUCCAGCGUUCUCGCUGGUGCACUUGGCCGGCCCAGGCCAGCAUCAGUUCGUCGCGGGGGAUAAAGACUUUGGGAACGUGGCUCCUCCGGGAGUGUUAUAGCCCAUUGUGCAAUACCCUGCGGUGGACUGAGGUUCGCGCAUCNGCAAGGANGCUNNCGUAAUSGWCAUCAACGACCCGUCUUGAAA
rnacentral:rRNA from 1 species